UCGCACAGUUUGAUGUCACUUCGACCUACUGCGAGAUCCAUCUGACCCGGGCAGAAGAGUAGCGCGGGACAUGAGGGCCGUCAUCAUCGUGGUUUGAAGAAGCAGCAGUCUAGGAGCCGAGAACAGAAGAGUCCGAUCAGGAACCAUGGGCCUCGGCAGAAGCAGUUCCAGCGGUUUAUCUCGGCUCGCCUUCAUCACAGCUCUGGCGUUCUGCAUGGCUUUUGUGCAGACAGAAACAGUGGCUGAUUCCAUCCCUACACUGCAGAAUGAUAACCAGGACACACUAUCCGGUGCCGGAGCCAUCGACGCGACAACUAAAGUCCCUUACCAGGACCUGACGGGAAACAUCCUCUACAUUGACUAUGAGGACAGUACACGUUCACAAACCCUGGAUGAGGAAGUUGUUCUGGGGCCAGGGGCCAUCACAGCUAUCGUCAUCGCAGUGUUCCUCGGAGCCUCUGUUCUCCUCGCUCUCAUUGUGAUCACGCUCAGAAAGUUCACUGCCUCUUAGGAAGGGACAUUUAUGUUUUCAUUUUCUCCCUUCCUCAGUCUCAUCUCUUUGCUCCCCUUGUUUUUCCCUCUCCUCCAUCUGUACUCAUUGGUGGCAGGUCCCUCAUGAAAUGGUUGUUUAGUUGUUCUUUACUGUUACUCGACUUGUUUUGUGAUUUCUUUCUCCUAAUCUUAAAAAUAAAGGUUCAUUAUUGGCAUCGAUGGGCCCAUUAAGAACCAUCCAUGGAGCCUUUUCAUUGCACAAAAGGUUCUUUAUAGUGGACAAAUGUUAUUUAGAUUAAAAUGUUCUUCACACUAAGAAAAAAUGGUUCUUCCAUGGCAUCGCUGUGAAAACCUACCUUGUGGAACCUUUAUUUUUAAGAUGAAAACUCAAGACAAAGCAAACGAGACAAAAGGGGACUUGCAAUCAAGAAGAGAGAUUAUAGGUGCAUUUAUUUUGUGACCAUUAUCAAUGAAGAGAUCCUCUUGUAAUUAGGUUUAGACAGAAAGAUUAUAGGGUUGUUGUUGUUGUUGUUUUUUUCAAAAGAAGUAAAAAAUAUUGAUUUUAUAGUGACAUUUUACGAUAUAGUUUACCAUUCAUGUGCAAGUGCAACCAUUUUUUUAGUUCAUACUGUUUUCUAAUCUAAUGUAUAUCAAUGUCCAUUUUUUGUUAUUAGAUUACACUGAUUUCUGUAAAAUGUAAAAUGAUCAUGUUUAAGAUAAAGUGUGUGUGUGUGUGUGUGUGUUUGUGUGUGUGUGUGUGUGUGUGGGUGGGGGGGGGCAUGUAUAUCUGUUUGUCAAGAGCACUGUCUGUAAGAUGCACUGAAAGUUCAUGGCUGAUGAUGACCAACCUCCCUGUCAGAAAACACACAGGUCAUAUUCUAAAUACUUGAAGGAUAAAUCAUUUUGUUAAUAAUGUAAGACUAGAUAAUUUUGGAUUUUAGAUCCAAAUGUAGACAUAGAAAGUGCAAUAGAGCUACAAUUGGUGGGAUAAGGUAGAUUUACAUGCAUUAAGGUGAGGGAAAGUAGUUUUUUUUUUGUUUAGUUGGAGCUAUUUAACAGGGCUAUUUGGUAGAAUUUGGUAGAAUUGUAUGGGAACCACUCAACAUUUCUAAUUAAUUCAUAACUGAAUGUGAUGAGACAAGACUUUUUAACAUUCUUUAUUUGCCAUACGAGUUAAUGUGUGCAUAUUUUAAAAUAAAAAUACUAUUUACAAAUAGUACAAAUUAAUUAACGAUCCUUUAAUUAUUGAAUUCAUUUAAAUAAAAAGAUUAUUACUACUUUGGUUUGGAAGUCUGCAAGUAACAAAUUUAAUUAAACGUGAAAAUUCGAUGACUGAAAUAGUAUUUUAUUUUUAAAACGUACUUCGAUAAUCAUGUUUGUAUUUACAACUUUGAAAACAUAUUUUUUACAGUGAAGUUUAAUUUCACUCGAUAAGUGACAUUGACCUUGGUCCGACUGAAAUCGAACUUUUAAAGUGCAUGUAAACAUACUUACAAUGCUCUCAGAGUAGGUUAUAGUAGCACGAAGUAGAGCUGCAUUUGUUGGGGUGGGAUAUCGCUGUGUGUGAUGAUGGGCUGAGGUUGGUGGUCACUGCGGCCUGACUGAAUCAAUGUGUCUGGAAAAAAACGCAUGUGGUAACACAGCACAACCUGUCACCCAGUCCUGCAUCUGACAGUAAAACUGUGUGUUUGUACCUGUGGUGUGUGUUGAUAUUGCAGGCCUGGUCCAACUAAGUAGCACAAUCAUAAUGAGAUCCAAAUUGCAACUUUUUUGCAUUUUAUGUUUGAUUAUAAUGCAUGUUCUGCCAAAAAUGAUCUAAAAGUUUUCCAUUCUGUUUCAUUUAUAAGUAAACCUUUAUUUAUAUACACUGUGAGAUGAAGAUUAAUAUACUUAUUGAUCUUGUACCUUUGAGCUCAGUUCCACUGUUUUUUAAAAAAUGAAUAAAAAUAAAAAUAAUAUAAAUACUUGAAUUAAUGUCCUGAGACUAAGUAUUGGGAAUUGAGUUCAAAAUAACAUCACUAACAAAUAAAACCAUUUGGUGGACAAAAAUCAAUACAUACAUUUUCAUUAAUUUUAAUGGGUAAACUUUAAUUUAUAUCCUAUUUAUGUUGUGGAAUAAGCUUUUAUUUUGUGUUUCAGCUAUAACAAAUAAUUACAUGCUCUUAAAAUAAUCUUAAUCACUGAUACUAAUGGAUUAAUUAAAUAUUUCCUGUAAGUUAAAAUUGAAUGAUUAUGGACACCAUUCACUUCUAACAAAAAUAUGUUCUAAAAAUAUUAAGCUAAUGUACCCAUUUAGUUAAGAAGACAUUAUUUCUUAAAUUAAAUUUGUAUCAUUCUUCAAACCUUACUUUUGAAUGUUCUCCGAACAUUCUGAAACAAGUAGUAACAUUUAAAAAAAUGUUAGACCAACAUCCAACUAAAAUGUUUUUAAAAAAAAUAUUAAAUGAGUGACGUAUAUGCUUUUGUGCUAACGUUUUGAUGACAUUAUUAAAGACCACUAGCCUGGUUAAAACUAGACCAUUCUCAGUUCUAACUGAGUUAUGGUCUGGCAAAG